UACAGAGGGUGCAAGCGUUGUUCGGAAUUAUUGGGCGUAAAGGGCGCGUAGGCGGCCUUCUAAGUCGAACGUGAAAUCCCCGGGCUCAACCCGGGAACUGCGUCCGAUACUGGAAGGCUUGAAUCCGGGAGAGGGAUGCGGAAUUCCAGGUGUAGCGGUGAAAUGCGCAGAUAUCAGGAGGAACACCGAUGGCGAAGGCAGGUCUCUGGGCAUUAACUGACGCUGAGGAGCGAAAGCAUGGGGAGCGAACAGG
rnacentral:rRNA from 1 species